GUUGAGUUGAGUUGAGUAUUGUAUGGUGUUUUUACUUGUAAAGGAUUUUUCCAGUUUUCUGUAAAAUAUUAAAAAAGAAAAGGAAAACAGAUGGAAAAUGCAUUUACCAAUCAGAAAAUGAAAACUAGAUUAUUCAAAAAUAAUUUGCAGUUUCAAUGUGCAAACACAUUUUCUGCAUUUUUGUUUGAAAUGAAUUGGAUAAUGGGGUUAAAUUGUG
rnacentral:misc_RNA from 1 species